UACGGAGGGAGCUAGCGUUGUUCGGAAUUACUGGGCGUAAAGCGCACGUAAGCGGCUUUGUAAGUUAGAGGUGAAAGCCCGGAGCUCAACUCCGGAACUGCCUUUAAGACUGCAUCGCUUGAAUCCAGGAGAGGUGAGUGGAAUUCCGAGUGUAGAGGUGAAAUUCGUAGAUAUUCGGAAGAACACCAGUGGCGAAGGCGGCUCACUGGACUGGUAUUGACGCUGAGGAGCGAAAGCGUGGGGAGCGAACAGG
rnacentral:rRNA from 1 species